UAAUGCUCCAUAGUGGAUAUGUCCUGGAAUGGUAUAUCCUCGAAAGAUCCGUCGCCUUAGGAUGGGACUGCGUCCGAUUAGGUUGUUGGCGGGGUAACGGCCCACCGAGCCAUUGAUCGGUACGGGUUGUGGGAGCAAGAUCCCGGAGAUGGAUUCUGAGACAUGAAUCCAGGCCCUACGGGGCGCAGCAGGCGCGCAAACUUUACAAUGCGAGCAAUCGUGAUAAGGAAACCCUGAGUGCCUGUCGAUGCAGGCUGUUCAUAUAUCUAAAUCAUAUGUGAAGAAAGGGCAGGGCAAGACCGGUGCCAGCCGCCGCGGUAAUACCGGCUGCUCGAGUGAUGGCCACUAUUACUGGGUUUAAAGCGUCCGUAGCUUGACUGUUAGGUCUCUUGGGAAAUCUUCACGCUCAACGUGAAGGCGUCUAAGAGAUACCGGCAGUCUUGGAACUGGGAGAGGUAAACCGUACUUCGGGGGUAGGAGUGAAAUCUUGUAAUCCUCGAGGGACGACCUAUGGCGAAGGCAGUUUACCAGAACAGCUUCGACAGUGAGGGACGAAAGCUGGGGGAGCAAACGGGAUUAGAUACCCCGGUAGUCCCAGCCGUAAACCAUGUGCGUUAGGUGU
rnacentral:rRNA from 1 species